ACGCACGCCGGCGGCGUGCUUAACACCUGCAAGUCGAACGGAAAGGCCCUGCUUUUGUGGGGUGCUCGAGUGGCGAACGGGUGAGUAACACGUGAGUAACCUGCCCUUGACUUUGGGAUAACUUCAGGAAACUGGGGCUAAUACCGGAUAGGAGCUCCUGCUGCAUGGUGGGGGUUGGAAAGUUUCGGCGGUUGGGGAUGGACUCGCGGCUUAUCAGCUUGUUGGUGGGGUAGUGGCUUACCAAGGCUUUGACGGGUAGCCGGCCUGAGAGGGUGACCGGCCACAUUGGGACUGAGAUACGGCCCAGACUCCUACGGGAGGCAGCAGUGGGGAAUAUUGCACAAUGGGCGGAAGCCUGAUGCAGCAACGCCGCGUGCGGGAUGACGGCCUUCGGGUUGUAAACCGCUUUCGCCUGUGACGAAGCGUGAGUGACGGUAAUGGGUAAAGAAGCACCGGCUAACUACGUG
rnacentral:rRNA from 1 species